AUUCAGAUUCCCAGCAUUCCCCUGGGGUGGACCCGUAUCCUUCCCAUGCUGCCGCUGCCCGCAUGGGCCUUCUGGGACCCGGGCCUUCCUAAGAUAGAGACGAUCCUGCCUAGCUCAUUACCAGCUGGUCGAGUAAACAUCGAGAGACUAUAAGGAUAUUUUAUUUUAAUUGCCUGAGCCUCAGGAUUAUGGAAUCAAGAUGGAAGGGAGGACUCUGAAACAGGAUGGCGGGCGGGCGUGGGGGAGGGGGGCGGUGUAGGCGUCCAAGGAUGUGCUGGUGGUCAUACUUCCUUUUAUUUUAUCGGGAGCUUUUGACCCUGACCCAGGAAAGACUGAGAAGAAUUUGGAGGAGGCCAAGCCGCUGCCCCGUUGAAGAGAGGGCAGGUUCCAAGCCAGUCAAUUAAACACAGUUCUCCUUAAUAAAUGUAGCAACUGGCA